ACUCCUGCGGGAGGCAGCAGUGGGGAAUUUUGGACAAUGGGCGAAAGCCUGAUCCAGCAAUGCCGCGUGAGUGAAGAAGGCCUUCGGGUUGUAAAGCUCUUUUGUCAGGGAAGAAACGGUGAAAGCUAAUAUCUUUUGCUAAUGACGGUACCUGAAGAAUAAGCACCGGCUAACUACGUGCCAGCAGCCGCGGUAAUACGUAGGGUGCAAGCGUUAAUCGGAAUUACUGGGCGUAAAGCGUGCGCAGGCGGUUUUGUAAGUCUGAUGUGAAAUCCCCGGGCUCAACCUGGGAAUUGCAUUGGGGACUGCAAGGCUAGGAUCUGGCAGAGGGGGGUAGAAUUCCACGUGUAGCAGUGAAAUGCGUAGAUAUGUGGAGGAACACCGAUGGCGAAGGCAGCCCCCUGGGUCAAGAUUGACGCUCAUGCACGAAAGCGUGGGGAGCAAACAGGAUUAGAAACCCUUGUAGUCCCAU
rnacentral:rRNA from 1 species